GUAUACUCCCUCCGUCCCAUAAAAAACCAACCUAUUACUGGAUGUGACACAUCCUAGUACCAUGAAUCUAAAUAUUCCUAUGUCCGGAAUUCGUUGUACUGUAAUAUGUCACAUCCAAUCCUAGAUUCCUUUUUUUUAUGGAGGGAGUAU
rnacentral:misc_RNA from 1 species